rnacentral:rRNA from 1 species
CACGUAGGGCGCAAGCGUUGUCCGGAAUUAUUGGGCGUAAAGGGCUCGUAGGCGGUCUGUUGCGUCAGGAGUGAAAACUCGGGGCUUAACCCCGAGCCUGCUUCUGAUACGGGCAGACUAGAGGUAUGCAGGGGAGAAUGGAAUUCCUGGUGUAGCGGUGAAAUGCGCAGAUAUCAGGAGGAACACCGGUGGCGAAGGCGGUUCUCUGGGCCUUACCUGACGCUGAGGAGCGAAAGCGUGGGGAGCGAACAGG